ACUUUUUGUAUUUGAAAUGGCAACAAUUUAAAAUAUGUGAAAUACCAAAGGGCCGAGUACCUUUUGGAGGGCACUGUAAACAGUGCAUGAUAACACAAGUAAAAUAAAUGGUAUAAACCCAACUUUGCUGUUGUAAUUUAGGUAGUAUGAAAGAUGAAAAGUUGUCACUUUACUUACUUAUUCUUAAAGCAGAUAAC